GACGAACGCUGGCGGCGUGCCUAAUACAUGCAAGUAGAACGCCGUUGCGCACGGGUGAGUAACGCGUCUGUAACUGCCUCGUAGCGGGGGGUAACUAUUGGAAACGAUAGCUAAUACCGCAUACUGUGAGAUGGACCUGCGUUGUAUUAGCUAGGUGGUGAGGUAAAGGCUCACCAAGGCGCCGAUACAUAGCCGACCUGAGAGGGUUAUCGGCCACAAUGGGACUGAGAAACGGGCCAGACUUCUACGGGAGGGAGCCGUAGGGAAGUUUCGGCAAUGGACGGAAGUCCGACCGAGCAACGCCGCGGGAGUGAAGAAGGGUUUCGGAUCGUAAAGCUCUGUUGUUAGAGAAGCGGUAACUACACAGAAAGCGACGGCUAACUACGUGUCAGCAGCCGCGGUAAUUC
rnacentral:rRNA from 1 species